UAAUUUAUUAUUUUAUUUUUACAAUUUAGAGUAAUUUCUGUGUAUUUUCCGUCACUUUACCCAAAAAAUAAAGAAAUAAAUCUUCGUCUAAAGUAAUCAAUUUGGUUUUUAUUACAUAGUUUUCAUACGUGAAGAUAAACUAAGUGUAAAAUAGAUGGAAAUAUGAAAUGAUUUCUAUAUUCCCAACCACAAGAGUACGCUAGGAAUAUAAUUAGGAGAAUUUUAUUGGUAUG